rnacentral:lncRNA from 1 species
AAAACCGCAAGGUGUGUCUUUCACGAGGUCUCACACACACACACACACACACACAUAUAUACAUAUAUAUAUGCAUGUGCAUAUAUACAUGCGCCACAUAUGUAUAUACAUAUAUACAAAUAUGCGUAUGCAAAGUUGAGAAACAUAUAUAUAUACACAAUCGUGUAUAUGCGCGAUUACACGGUCCAACUUCAUUGAAUAUACAACAUAUUAUUUUAUGUGUUUAUGAACAGGUUAGUAACCUAAUUUGAUAGAAUUCAGGAUUUAAUUCUCAGUGUGUUAAUAAGAUUAUAAUAACUAGAAAAUCUAAUUAAUAUUUUCAUUCGAGGGUGAAAACUAGAAAACACGUUACAUCGACCAAAUCUUACCAUGAGAAAUAAGAAGAUGAGGAGGAAAUCAAGAACAUGGAGGAGAGGCUUGAUUAAGGUGAAUGGGAAAAAAGCCAGAGAAUGAAAGCAGAGAAAAGAAGAACAAGUGGGAUGAGAUGAACUGCUUUCUCUCCCAAUGAUUUGUGCUGCAGAGCUAUCUCCUUCUUGCUUGCAUCAGAAACUGGCAGUACCAGAAGAUCAGAAGGAGAGGACAUGGUAGCUCCUGCUGCUGAUAAGUUGACCAAGAACUCAUCAGACGGCCGACUAUUGGUAAUGCUUGAUGAUGAUGAUGUUGAAGAUAACCUGUACAUCGUUAUUCUUGAUCAGAGAUGGAGGAGAAGCAUAGAGUCUAUACAAAAAGAUGAAGUGGGUAAGCUUAUAUAUACAUAUAUAUUAAAGGGAAAGGUGACAUAGGGUGUUGUCAAAACUUCUAAAGCCUGAAGUUAAGGAGAGAAAGAGCUUUGAUUUUAGAGCCAAACAUGCAGUGACAGUUGAGUGCUUAUACAUGAAUUUUCUGCAAGUUGCAAUUGGAUUCAAUAUAUAUAUAUAUAUAUACAUGAUUAUAUAUGUGUGUGUGUGUGUGAGUGUGUAUGCAGUUGUGGGAGAUUGAAUAUUUAUGUGGUUUAAUUUUGGGGUUAGUAAAACUAAAAGCAACUUAAAAAGCAUGUGAUGGAAACUUCUGUUCUAAGGUUAUGUUUGUAAGAGAUGAAAUCUCUUUGUGAUAUUUGUAUGGAAAUUUAAUAUUUAC